GCCUUCGUGGUGUAACGGUAGCACACUUUGCGUAUAUUCAAGAGGUGCAGGUUCGAGUCCCGCCGAGGGCA
rnacentral:tRNA from 1 species